CGGCGGCCAUAGCGGAGGGGCAACACCUGAUCUCGUCUCGAUCUCAGUAGUUAAGCCCUCCAGCGUUUUGGGUGUGUACUAUAGCCCUCGUGUUAUGGGAAGCCCGAAUCGCUGCCGGCCC
rnacentral:rRNA from 1 species